rnacentral:rRNA from 1 species
AGCGAACGCUGGCGGUAGGCCUAACACAUGCAAGUCGAACGGCAGCACAGUAAGAGUUUGCUCUUACGGGUGGCGAGUGGCGGACGGGUGAGGACUACAUCGGAAUCUACUUUUUCGUGGGGGAUAACGUAGGGAAACUUACGCUAAUACCGCAUACGACCUACGGGUGAAAGCAGGGGAUCUUCGGACCUUGCGCGAUUGAAUGAGCCGAUGUCGGAUUAGCUAGUUGGCGGGGUAAAGGCCCACCAAGGCGACGAUCCGUAGCGGGUCUGAGAGGAUGAUCCGCGAGACUGAAUCUGAGGAUCGGUCCAUACUCCAAAGAGAGGCCACCGUGGGGAAUAUUAGUCAAUGGUCGGCAGCCUAAUCCAGCAAUACCGCGUUGGUUGAGAAGACCUUCGGGUUGUAAAGCCCUUUUGUCGGGAGCGAAAGACAGCUGGUUUAUACCCCGCUGUACUGACGGUACCCAAAGAAUAAGCACCGGCUAACUUCGUG